GUACUCACUUUGGCAGCAGAUGGACGAACGCUGGAACAAUACUGGAAAGAUUAGCAUUGCCCCGCACAAAGAAGAUACACGAAUUUGUGAAGAAAAAAAAAAUGGU
ensembl:snRNA U6 U6 spliceosomal RNA